UACGAAGGGGUGCACGUUGUCCGGAAUUACUGGGCGUAAAGCGCACGUAGGCGGAUACUUAAGUCAGGGGUGAAAUCCCGGGGCGUCAACCCCGGAACUGCCUUUGAUACUGGGUAUCUCGAGUCCGGAAGAGGUGAGUGGAAUUCCGAGUGUAGAGGUGAAAUUCGUAGAUAUUCGGAGGAACACCAGUGGCGAAGGCGGCUCACUGGUCCGGUACUGACGCUGAGGUGCGAAAGCGUGGGGAGCAAACAGG
rnacentral:rRNA from 1 species